UGUAAGGUACAUGAUGCUUUUCUAGGUGUCAACGGUGUAUUGCUCUCUUUGCUCAAGUGGAUGAAGUAGAUCCAAUUUGUGUGUUGUAAGGAGGAUUCAUUUUCUAGGUGUCAACGGUGUAUUGCUCUCUUUGCUCAGGUUAAUGAAGUAGAUCCAAUUUGUGUGCUAUAAGGAGGAUUCAUUUUGAAGUGUAGAGUGGAAUGGAUGAAUUUUCUUCUAAAACUUUCUCAAUUGUCUUUCUUGAAAUUGGUCAUUUGGUUAAAACUAUAAAGUAAUUUCGAUUUUCUUUUUAUAGUAAGGAAAUAGUUGUGAUAUAAUUAC